rnacentral:rRNA from 1 species
UACAGAGGGUGCGAGCGUUAAUCGGAAUUACUGGGCGUAAAGCGUGCGUAGACGGUAGCGUAAGUCGGGUGUGAACGCCCCGGGCUCAACCUGGGAAUUGCAUUCGAGACUGCUCUGCUAGGGUGCGGAAGAGGGGAGCGGAAUUUCCGGUGUAGCGGUGAAAUGCGUAGAUAUCGGAAGGAACACCAGUGGCGAAAGCGGCUCCCUGGUCCAGCACCGACGUUCAGGCACGAAAGCGUGGGGAGCAAACGGG